CACGUAGGGCGCAAGCGUUGUCCGGAAUUAUUGGGCGUAAAGGGCGCGUAGGCGGUGCGGUAAGUCACCUGUGAAACCUCUGGGCUUAACUCAGAGCCUGCAGGCGAAACUGCCGUGCUGGAGUGUGGGAGAGGUGCGUGGAAUUCCCGGUGUAGAGGUGAAAUUCGUAGAUAUCGGGAGGAACACCAGUGGCGAAGGCGGCGACCUGGGCCAAUACUGACGCUGAGGUGCGAAAGCGUGGGGAGCAAACAGG
rnacentral:rRNA from 1 species